UGGGGAAUAUUGGACAAUGGGGGAAACCCUGAUCCAGCGACGCCGCGUGGGUGAAGAAGGCCUGCGGGUUGUGAAGCCCUUUCGGUUGGGAAGAAAAGUUGCGACCUAACACGUCGCGACCUUGACGUAGCCAACUAAAGAAGCACCGGCUAACUCUGUGCCAGCAGCCGCGGUAAUACAGAGGGUGCGAGCGUUAAUCGGAAUUACUGGGCGUAAAGCGCGCGUAGGCGGCUUGGCAAGUCGGGUGUGAAAUCCCCGGGCUCAACCUGGGAACUGCAUUCGAGACUGCUUUGCUAGAGUAUGGGAGAGGGAAGUGGAAUUUCCGGUGUAGCGGUGAAAUGCGUAGAUAUCGGAAGGAACAUCAGUGGCGAAAGCGACUUCCUGGACCAAUACUGACGCUCAUGUGCGAAAGCGUGGGGAGCAAACA
rnacentral:rRNA from 1 species